rnacentral:rRNA from 1 species
CAGCCGCCGCGGUAAUUCCGGCGGCCCGAGUGGCGGUCACUAUUAUUGGGCUUAAAGCGUCCGUAGCCGGGUUGGGAAGUCCUCCGGGAAAUCUGGCCGCUUAACGGUCAGAAUGCCGGAGGAUACUCCCAGCCUAGGGAGCGGGAGAGGCCGAGGGUAUUCCCGGAGUAGGGGGGAAAUCCUAUAAUCCCGGGAGGACCACCUGUGGCGAAGGCGCUCGGCUGGAACGCGUCCGACGGUGAGGGACGAAGGCCAGGGGAGCAAACCGGAUUAGAUACCCGGGUAGUCCUGGCGGUAAACGAUGCGGACUUUGUGUCGGACAAGCUAUGAGCUUGUCCGGUGCCGGAGGGAAACCGUUAAGUCCGCCGCCUGGGGAGUACGGCCGCAAGGCUGAAACUUAAAGGAAUUGGCGGG